ACUGAACGCUGGCGGCAUGCCUUACACAUGCAAGUCGAACGGUAACAGGUCUUCGGAUGCUGACGAGUGGCGAACGGGUGAGUAAUACAUCGGAACGUGCCCGAGAGUGGGGGAUAACGAGGCGAAAGCUUUGCUAAUACCGCAUACGAUCUCAGGAUGAAAGCAGGGGACCGCAAGGCCUUGCGCUCACGGAGCGGCCGAUGGCAGAUUAGGUAGUUGGUGGGAUAAAAGCUUACCAAGCCGACGAUCUGGAGCUGGUCUGAGCGGACGAACAGCCACCCUGGGACUGAGACAAGGCCCAGACUCCUACGGGAGGCAGCAGUGGGGAAUUUUGGACAAUGGGCGCAAGCCUGAUCAAGCCAUGCCGCGUGCAGGAUGAAGGCCUUCGGGUUGUAAACUGCUUUUGUACGGAACGAAAAGACUCUGGUUAAUACCUGGGGUCCAUGACGGUACCGUAAGAAUAAGCACCGGCUAACUACGUGCCAGCCGCCGCGGUAACAC
rnacentral:rRNA from 1 species